UUGGAUGUUAUAUUAUACUAAAUUUCACUUUCUGUGACCGCUUAACAUACAGUUUUACCUUUUUUAUUUCCCCCAAAGUAGUUUUAAAGGACUGGUGUGUAGGAUUUAGAUGCAUCCAGCGGUGAGGUUGCAGAAGAUACAACUGAAUACCCUUCCCCUUCCACUUAAGCAUGUAGGAGAAACUAUAGUGGCCCUCUCUAGAGCCAGUGUUUGGUUUGUCCAUUCUGGGCUACUGUAGAAACAUGGUGGGCUCCGUGGAAGGGGACCCUCUCCCUAUGUAGAUAUAAAGGGAGAGGGUAGUCAGCUUACUCUGUUGGGACGAAAAUAGCCGCAUGCUGUCGGGUAAAAAAAGACACCAUUACAAAAAACAAAAUUAAACACCAAAGGAGAGUGCUGCUUCAGUCUCUGAAAAACCUCCACGCCAACUACAAUACAACCGCCCUGAAACACCAUGCAGUCUCAUUCAGACAGUUCCUCAGAUACUGCCCUUUUUAUGUUACUCCAGCAAAAGAGUCCGACCGAAACACCUGUGCCUGCUAUGACCACGACAAUUUUAAAAUGAUUAUUGACAAGCUCUGUCAGAAAGGCAUUUUGUUGACUAACAGCAUUUCGGAUCUCCUGGAAGCAAUUGUUUGUGACCCGGCCAACCAGAAGUGUAUGUACCGCUUGUGUACAAGGUAUUGCUACAAUGAAGUGGAGUUCGAGGGCCCACUAGAUAAUAGCAUCGUCACAUGGGAGCAGUGGGAGAGGAUUGUUGUUACAGAGGAGGAGAAAACAUCUGCAAAAUAUCAAAAGAUUGAAAAGAGUGGCAGGAUGGCAGACCUUCUCAGUCUCCUGAACAGCUGGACGCCUUCACUCGCCAUCAGUUUCUCUGCUUACAGAUGAACUGUGUGUUCAUGUUGAUUUCUCUGAAAAUUAUGGCUGCAAAUUAAAUCGCAAGAUCCAGCCCUUUCACGUUACUGGCAGCCAGAAGCAGUCGACCAUCAACACUUAACAGGGACAGAGCUAACAUACACACUGAAAUGCUGCAAAGCCAAAAUCAAGGCUAGCGUUUCCUUUUCAAUGACUUCAGAUGAAGAGGGACCACUUGUUUCCUGUGGCUGUUGGAGAGGAACUGACGCCUGCUGAUACAAAACCUCCUGGAAAACUUUUGAGAAUCAACCCUGAUGACUCUAAAUGCAAAUCAACAUCACCGGUGAGCCAGAACUCUGGAAAGAGGAUCCAAAGAAAAAAACGGCACCCUGAGUCCCCACGUGGCGUCUCUCAUCAGAGAGCUUGUCCACUUUGAUUGGCAAAAUUACUGAACUGCAACACAACAACAACAUAAAGUGAUUUUGAUUGUA